AGAAGUCAAGGUGGGGGGCCUAGGGUGAUAGUUGAGGCUGCGUGAGAAUGACAGGAGUGUUGUGGUUGAGCUAACGGGUGCUGAAAGGCAGAGUGAUGUUCUGCAGUGAAGAAUUCUGAAUCCCACCAUGACAGACAGAGGUGACCCAGGAUCUGCAUCUGAGGGACUUUGUCCUUCCUCAACCAAGUGCGGAUGUGGAGCUACAGUACGCCUUUCAUGGAGAGGAGGCUCAGCUACUUCCGUUGGGCCUCGAGACACCACUCCUUACACUUGCAGCAGCUGUCCAUUUCGGCCAGAAGCUUGGAGCCCGCCCAGAAGCUGUCUACUGCAAGCAAUUUUGUGAAAUACCUCGAGCCUCCCCAACAGAGGGACGACGCAACUUCUCAGGACACUGAUGAGUCCCCGCAGCCUGAUGCCUCUACCUCGGUCCCUGUGGCUCAGUUUCCAUCAGAUCUUCCUUGAGGUCCCAUACUUCCCCUGAGAGCAGGUAGCACCCUGGGGACACAGGUGGCAAGCCCCAGUCCCCACUCUAGGGCCCACUCCUUACUGCCUGAGUCUUGGCAGGGACCCUCCUCUGAAAGUCCUCCAAUACUCUCAGCUGCGGCUAUAUCACUCUGGGCACACACUGGUUUGUAGUCCAAGGCAGUGGGAGCAAUGUGGCCCUUUUCCCAAGCCGGGCGAUGCUCUGCCCCACAGGGCAUGCCGCUAAGUCACCCUUCAUCUUUGGUCCAGCCCUACCAGAGAUAUACCCUCCAGGGGCUCCAGGGGCUCCAGGGGUUCCAGGGGCUCCAGGGGCUCCAGGGGUUCCAGGGGCUCUAGGAGAUACUCUGCAGCCUAGCCUUGGGGGCAGUACCUACCCUUCUGUGGACAGACAACUCCCCAAGAAGUAAAGGCUUAAUUAAUAUAACAUCC